rnacentral:tRNA from 1 species
CCGCUUUCCGCGGAGGCGUCCAUUCCCGGAAGUGGCUCAGGCAAAAUCCCCUAGUCCUACCGACUUCCAGAACUUCUGAGUCUCUUUUGGCCCACUCUCCAAAUCCUGGCGUUUCACUUAGACUGAAGUACAUUGUUGUGGACGGAAAAGUUUUUGUGACUUUCGUGCCAGGUUAAAAUUUUUAAAACUAACUGCCGAAACCCGGGAUCGAACCAGGGACCUUUAGAUCUUCAGUCUAACGCUCUCCCAACUGAGCUAUUUCGGCUUUCCCUCUUCUUCUUUUUGACUAAGCCAUUACUGAGCAUUUCACGUCUAACUGUCCCGCGUACUUUUCAACACAUUUACAGUUUCAUAUUUUUCCUUUCCCCCACUAAAAGUAGUACUCCUUGCGCUUCGCUUUUCGCAGCCAUGGUUAGCUGAACCUUGAACGUCCCUUACUUUCCUAAAAACCCCUGCGCCCGCGGCGGCGGACCCCAGGCGCCGGGCCCCUCGGGACGCGGGUUCUGCCCCCCAGGGCUGGUUCGCCCCUCCCGGAGUCCCAGCAACCCGGGAAUGAGUAGAGUUGGCCAAACCACUGGACGAAGGAGUGUACAGGACCGGGAAGGCAAGAACUGUCCGUCUGUCCGGGAGAUGGGGGGAGCCUGAGACCAGGAAACGCUCACCUUAAUUACCAGUGCUUUGCUUGGAGCCCGCCUGGCAAAAGGUGUGGGAGCUCACGAAGCACAAAAUUGAAAGUCAAUAUCGUUUCCCUCACAAGUCACCAACUACAUGCACGCACGGACAUCCUGCAACUCCCGACGUCCUAUCUUUUCAUUGUUUUCUUCUCCUAUUAAACUGCACUUAUUUCGAGUGGAUGUACACAAGAUAAUAUUCGAUGACCAGAGGCUCAGAAAAAGAGGCCCAGACACAAAGAACCCCUGUCCUUUGGCCUGUUUGCCUUUCAACCUCCCAGGUGCUUCAUUUUCUUAACGUUCUUAGGAUUCACAGCACAAAAUUGGGUCUGAAGAUUACUUAAAACAGAAGAUUUUCGAGAAACAGCAAAAGCCAAAAGAAGCCUUUUCUUACUUCUCUUGUCUGACUAAAGGCCCCACCUUCCAAGAAGGAAGCUGCCAUAAGUCCCCCCUUUGAGGUGGCAUCCAACAAGAGACUACUUGCACCUGGAUAAGAAAUUUUAUAAACUAGUAUCAUCACAGUCAUACUUUCCUUGAUCUAAAAGCCACUUGGGCCAGGGAUUUAGCUCAGUGGUUCCACCACCUGCCUCGCAAGCACAAGGACCUGACUUUGAUCCCCGGUACCAAAAAUAAAUAAAUAAAGCCACU